AUGCUUGCUUUGGCAGCACAUAUACUAAAAUUGGAACAAUACAGAGAAUAUUAACAUGGCACUUAUGCAAGGAUGACAUGCAAAUUUGUGGAGAGUUCCAAAAUUUU
rnacentral:snRNA from 1 species